UGGUCAAGUUAUUAAGGGUGCAGGGCGGAUGCCUUGGCACUAGGAGCCGAUGAAGGACGUGAUAAGCUGCGAUAAGCUUCGGGGAGUUGCACGUAAACUUUGAUCCGAAGAUUUCCGAAUGAGGAAACUCACUUAGAGUAAUGUCUAAGUAUCAUUAAGUGAAUACAUAGCUUAAUGAGGGGAACUCAGGGAACUGAAACAUCUAAGUACCUGAAGGAAGAGAAAGAAAUUCGAUUCCGUAAGUAGCGGCGAGCGAACGCGGAUUAGCCCAAACCAAUAAAGUUUUCUUUAUUGGGGUUGCGGACAUAUCAUAACGAAGAGGUAUCGUAAUUGAAGAGGUUUGGAAAGACCCACCACAGAAGGUAAUAGUCCUGUAUGUUAAACGAGAAGACUUUAGAUAUGAUCCAGAGUACCACGGGACACGUGAAACCCUGUGGGAAGCAGGAGGGACCACCCUCCAAGGCUAAAUACUACCUAGUGACCGAUAGCGUAUAGUACCGUGAGGGAAAGGUGAAAAGAACCCCGGGAGGGGAGUGAAAUAGAACCUGAAACCCUGCACUUACAAGCUGUGGAAGCACAUUUCUUGUGUGACC
rnacentral:rRNA from 1 species